rnacentral:misc_RNA from 1 species
GGGAAACUUAUCUAGAAGAAGUUGUCAAAUUGUAAUAAGAAACUUGUGAUGGCUGAACAUAUAUUUUAAUUAUUAUACAUCGCAAAUUUGCUGAAAAUGAUUGAUAAAGUCAGUGUUAAAGCAUGUCUUGAAUUGAUACAAGAGGACUCACAUUAAUGGCAAAAUCUUGCUAUGGCCCAAGAUGAAUCUUCCACAAUCUUGAAAAAGAAGAUUCAAUCUUGAAUGAAUCUUUCAAAUAUUUGACUGAGGUUUAAUUUAUCUUUCCUGUUAAGAAUGUGCUGCCAAAUAUGCUUUAACACCAAGCACAAUUUAUGGCUAUAAAUAGCCAUCAUUCCAACUGGAGAGGCAAGGCAAGGAGGAGUGGGUGUGAAAAGAAAGAGCAAGUGUGAGUAGGGUGAAGUGAGUGAGAUUUGGGUGUAGUGGGUCAAUGGGUUGAGAGAAAUUCAAUUGUCUUUGUAAAUCUCCCAAUUUCUUGGUGAAAAUUCUUUGAUUGUCUUCACCUGUGGACGAAGGCCUUAUUGUCAACCAUAUUCUUAGAUUCCUGGGGAUGCCAUUUCCGCAACAGUCAGCAUGUCAAAGGCUGUACCUAAGUUGACAAGAGAUUGAAUGAUACGAUAAUGGACUCUACUCUUUGAGUUGGUGUCUGACUGUUUGAAGUGCUGUACUGAGGAUUCCGACGACUCCAUGAGCAAGAUUACUUAUUCUGGUGCAGUACUGGAGGUUUGCAUGAGGAAAUUAGUGUUCUAUCCUGAAAUUGUCGGUUUCAUUGAAGAGGAGAAGGACAAGUUUCCUACUGUUAAAGUUCAAUAUAUUUUCAAUUCUCCACCAAAGUUGAUCAUGCUGGAUGACGAGGGUAAACAUAAAGAAAUCAUUAGGUUCAAGUGUAUCAUCAUAUCUUUCUGCUUGCCUUAUGCAACCUCAAGGAUGCUAUGCCAUGGUUGCUAGAAUGAUGAAAACAGUACACUUGUACAUAUGCACCUAUACCAUAACCCCACCUAUCUUCAGGUACUAAUUUGGAACCUUCCCGGACAGCCUGAAUUGAUUGGCAUACCCCUUUUUGCCUCUCAUGUAACAAAAUGCCCCUCCCCCUGUCAAUUAUGCUGAAAAUUGUGUGUGCAUAUGCAUGUGUAAAGCACAAGAAAUGUACAUAAGCCUUGUUUUGAUCUUCUGAAGGAAAUACCAGCUCUCAUACUACAAUUACAUCUUUCAAGUUUCUUGAGCAGUGAAUAUGUCACUUUUUUGAAAGCUCAAUGAUAUAUUAUCUUUGCCUCUGCAGAAUUGACAACUGGAAAUGCGAACAUAUGUUGCAGUUCCUCCGUGAGAAGGUUAAGUCAGCUUCAUACUGAGUGGUUUAGUUCUGUUAAUCUCUACUUUCAGUUCUGUCUAAUUUUAAGUUUUACUCCAAUGUGGGACAAAAAUCAAAUUAAAAAAAGAAUGGAGUGAUAAUCAACACUAGACAUAAGUUAUUAUUCCCUCUUAUUUUUCUCUCUGUAUACGAUGGAGUCAUAGGAAUCAAUGGCAGGGACUUCCCUUCAAGGAUAUUUAGAACAAACUUUUUAGGAAUUUAAACUGGCUAUGCUUUUUUGUUCUGAUCAUAAAACUUAUUAGUAUAGUAUUGUUAUUUAAUUUCGAUUCAACUUUGAUUUUAUUUCAUCAAUUUCUG